CUGCUAUAUUGAUAGCUUGCUAGACCCUGCAAGAGCCUCCUGUAUGUGAUUAAAGUUCAAUUUAGAGAUUGAGAUACAAUUAUUUAACCCCUUAAGGACACAUGACAUGUGUGACAUGUCAUGAUUCUCUUUUAUUCCAGAAGUUUGGUCCUUACGGGGUUAAGGUAAAUUACAUCUGUUUGAAAGUGAAACCAGUUUUUUUCAUGCAGGCUUUGUCAAUCAUAGCCAGGGGAGGUGUGGCUAGGGCUGCAUAAACAGAAACAAA